AUCACUUCUUGGCCUUUUGGCUAAGAUCAAGUGUAGAUGUGUAAGACUUCAUGCAGAAAUUUUCAAAAUCAUGUGCAACUCUCCAAAUAAAAAAUGUGUCAAGAUUUACUAUACUUUUAAAUUUUAGUUGAGAUGAAUUAACUUUC
rnacentral:snRNA from 1 species